CAGACUAAGAGAUGCAGGUAGCACAUUCUGCACCCACUGCCACAUGCUGUGGAGCCAGUGGCUCCCUGGGGCUGGGGCAGGGAAUAGUGGGUACUCCCUGGGGUGUCUGGGCCAGGCCAGAUACCAGACACCACCACCAGGAGCAGGGUUGCCUGUUUCUUCCAGAUCCUUUUUCUCUCCUGUUAGAAGAGAAGAUAAUCCUUCAGAGCAAGGCAUUUGUCCCUCAGUAAAUGACCACUUUUCUGCAUUAUCUGGAAGGGACUCAAAAGAGAGAAAUUUUAGCACUGUUGUCCUCAGAUGCAGCCUCCAGUUCCUUAGCAAUUGUCAAGGGUUUGUGUGGGGGCAAGAGGAAAAAUAAUGCAAAUACCUGCAGAAGUUAAUGCAAUGUGGAAAGGAAUGAUUAGUUAUUAAGUACAUCCAUGCCUUAUGUUACACAGAUAGCAAGCCCCUAAUUUUAAAAGCAUCUACUAAUUUCUGCUAUAAAACUUUGUUGUCAUUUUUUUAUAAGUUUGUCAAUUUAAUUGGACUGAUACUGUAGGUGCAUCAGGUAUUACUCUCUGCCUGAAUUUUAAUGGGGUUGAAACUUCAGCUAAAUUACCAGUCAGUGUAAUUUCUUUUUUUCCUGGUACCUAAGGUUUCCUGUUUGAAAAGAUUUGGGUCUUGCACACUCUGGAGCAAGAUAUACAGUUGCAUGACUAUCACAUAAAUGCCUGUAGGCACCUCUGUGGAAAAAAAAAUAUCCCAUAUGCAGCCAAGAUAACAAUUUCCAAAAAAAAAAAAAAAUCUCAUAUUCUGUGUAUUACGUAAAGGUUAAUUAGUGGUUGGUUGCUAAACUGUUUGAAGUUACAGGUAUUUCAGGUUUCCUUGAAAUUAUCUCUGAUAGCACCAAAACACCGGUGUGGAGCUGGUUGUGGGAAAUCAACACAGUAAAACUCCUGUGUCUUGAUGCUCAGUGAAAAAGCAGCCUAGUUGCAAAGCAUAAGAGGGAAGAGGAAUACUUGGAGGAGUUGUAAAGAGGGAAUAUUGGCAUGAUGAGUAGGAGAAAGAGAGAUGCUGGCUAGAGAAACAAAGUGGGCAGAUAUGAAGCAGUAGAGGGGGAGGAAGUGAAAGGUGCUGGAGAGGGAGACUGUAACAGAAGUGGGGAGAGAAAAGCGAAAAAACAACUGCUGUGAAAAUAAAACAGUGAAAAGUGAAAACACUGUGAUUACUUGAAUAGACUCCCUUCAGGACCUAGGGAAACAUUAUAUAUAUAUAUAUAUACUCCUCAAUUUUGGACAGUUGUCAGUAAAACAUAGUGGAAUUUCAUAGUGGGAGGUUGAGAAGGAAUCCUGUUUGUUUGUUUUCUGAGCUUAAGAAACUACAUAAAAUUGGAAAAAAAAAAAAUAGAAAAGUAGAAAAGUAGAAAA